rnacentral:rRNA from 1 species
AGACGGAGGGUCCUAGCGUUGUUCGGAAUAACUGGGCGUAAAGGGUACGUAGGCGGUUUAGUAAGUUAGAUGUGAAAGCCCAGGGCUCAACCUUGGAACUGCAUUUAAAACUGCUGGACUUGAGAUCGGAAGAGGAAAGUGGAAUUUCUAGUGUAGAGGUGAAAUUCGUAGAUAUUAGAAGGAACAUCAGAGGCGAAGGCGACUUUCUGGUCCGAUACUGACGCUGAGGUACGAAAGCGUGGGGAGCAAACAGGAUUAGAAACCCUAGUAGUCC